CAAAAAACGGUUUCUCUUAUGAAACUCUGUUCUCCUUCUCUGUCUUUCUGUUGUCCUUCUCCGUUUUUCUGUUCUUCUUUGUUCAUCAUAUCUGUUCUUCUUAGAUUUUUGUUGUAAUUAUAGUUUGUUUGUUUUUAUUUUGCAGAUACAGUUUUUGAAGAUGAGAUACUAUUAGAGUUUUGUUUUGUAGGUCACCAAGACAAUAAACGCUAUACUAAAGGUUUUGCUCCUGAUAAACAAUAAAAUCCCAUCAAAUUUCAGUAAACCCUAAGCUUAUUCUUUGUGUUUCUCUGACUAUAAAUCCAUCAAAUUUCAAUUCCGUUCAAAGUGCGUCAAACGACUGAGGAUGUGCUGAGUUCUGUGCACGAAUCUAUAAACAAUAAAAUCCCAUCAAAUUUCGGUAAACCCUAAGCUUAUUCUUUGUGUUUCUCUGAUUAUAAAUCCAUCAAAUUUCAAAUUCCGUUCAAAGUGCGUCAAACGACUGAGGAUGUACUGAGUUCUGUGCACGAAUCUAUAAUCUUGGGUUUCAUUGCUGAUUGAUCAUUUGGUUGGUUCUUUGUUAACUGCAUCCUCGCCAUUUCGGCCCAAAUCUACGUGACAAGUUGGUCGCAAAGCUCAUGAAAUAUGUGGAAGGAAGGGCAUUGGAAAAGAUGUCCACCCUUGAAGCAUGGGAGAACUCCAAGAAAGCUACUAUUGAAAUGGAGUUCAAGAAAAUUGAGGUAAUAAAUAAAGUUUGGAUGAAUAGUGGAGCGAAAAGAGCAGAAAAGUAGUGAAAAGC